GAUGAACGCUGACAGAAUGCUUAACACAUGCAAGUCUACUUGAAUUUGGGUUUUUUAACUUAGAUUUGGGUGGCGGACGGGUGAGUAACGCGUAAAGAACUUGCCUCACAGCUAGGGACAACAUUUGGAAACGAAUGCUAAUACCUGAUAUUAUGAUUAUAAGGCAUCUUAGAAUUAUGAAAGCUAUAUGCGCUGUGAGAGAGCUUUGCGUCCCAUUAGCUAGUUGGAGAGGUAACGGCUCACCAAGGCGAUGAUGGGUAGCCGGCCUGAGAGGGUGAACGGCCACAAGGGGACUGAGACACGGCCCGUACGCCUACGGGAGGCAGCAGUGGGGAAUAUUGGACAAUGGACCAAGAGUCUGAUCCAGCAAUUCUGUGUGCACGAUGACGUUUUUCGGAAUGUAAAGUGCUUUCAGUUGGGAAGAAAAAAAUGACGGUACCAACAGAAGAAGUGACGGCUAAAUACGUG
rnacentral:rRNA from 1 species